rnacentral:rRNA from 4 species
UAAGGCCGAGAGCUGAUGACGAGUUACCCUUUGGGUGACGAAGUGGUUGAUGCCAUGCUUCCAAGAAAAGCUUCUAAGCUUCAGGUAACCAGGAACCGUACCCCAAACCGACACAGGUGGUUGGGUAGAGAAUACCAAGGCGCUUGAGAGAACUCGGGUGAAGGAACUAGGCAAAAUGGCACCGUAACUUCGGGAGAAGGUGCGCCGGUGAGGGUGAAGCACUUGCUGCGUAAGCCCACGCCGGUCGAAGAUACCAGGCCGCUGCGACUGUUUAUUAAAAACACAGCACUCUGCAAACACGAAAGUGGACGUAUAGGGUGUGACGCCUGCCCGGUGCCGGAAGGUUAAUUGAUGGGGUUAGCUAACGCGAAGCUCUUGAUCGAAGCCCCGGUAAACGGCGGCCGUAACUAUAACGGUCCUAAGGUAGCGAAAUUCCUUGUCGGGUAAGUUCCGACCUGCACGAAUGGCGUAACGAUGGCGGCGCUGUCUCCACCCGAGACUCAGUGAAAUUGAAAUCGCUGUGAAGAUGCAGUGUAUCCGCGGCUAGACGGAAAGACCCCGUGAACCUUUACUAUAGCUUUGCACUGGACUUUGAAUUUGCUUGUGUAGGAUAGGUGGGAGGCUUUGAAGCGUGGACGCCAGUUCGCGUGGAGCCAUCCUUGAAAUACCACCCUGGCAACUUUGAGGUUCUAACUCAGGUCCGUUAUCCGGAUCGAGGACAGUGUAUGGUGGGUAGUUUGACUGGGGCGGUCUCCUCCUAAAGAGUAACGGAGGAGUACGAAGGUGCGCUCAGACCGGUCGGAAAUCGGUCGUAGAGUAUAAAGGCAAAAGCGCGCUUGACUGCGAGACAGACACGUCGAGCAGGUACGAAAGUAGGUCUUAGUGAUCCGGUGGUUCUGUAUGGAAGGGCCAUCGCUCAACGGAUAAAAGGUACUCCGGGGAUAACAGGCUGAUACCGCCCAAGAGUUCAUAUCGACGGCGGUGUUUGGCACCUCGAUGUCGGCUCAUCACAUCCUGGGGCUGAAGCCGGUCCCAAGGGUAUGGCUGUUCGCCAUUUAAAGUGGUACGCGAGCUGGGUUUAGAACGUCGUGAGACAGUUCGGUCCCUAUCUGCCGUGGACGUUUGAGAUUUGAGAGGGGCUGCUCCUAGUACGAGAGGACCGGAGUGGACGAACCUCUGGUGUUCCGGUUGUCACGCCAGUGGCAUUGCCGGGUAGCUAUGUUCGGAAAAGAUAACCGCUGAAAGCAUCUAAGCGGGAAACUUGCCUCAAGAUGAGAUCUCACUGGGACCUUGAGUCCCCUGAAGGGCCGUCGAAGACUACGACGUUGAUAGGCAGGGUGUGUAAGCGCUGUGAGGCGUUGAGCUAACCUGUACUAAUUGCCCGUGAGGCUUGACCAU